rnacentral:tRNA from 1 species
GGGGGCGUAGCUCUGCGACGGUGAGAUCGCCCACCUUAUAAGCGGGAGGUCGUGGGUUCGACACCCACCGCUCCUACCA